CCCCUAGACGUUCUGGGCUGCACGCGCGCUACAAUAAUACGCACAGCGAGUAUCACCGAGCUCGAAAGGGCAAGGUAAACAAUAGAAAAGGUACUGUAAUGGUUAUAGAUCCUUGUAAUUAUUGAUCUUCAACGAGGAAUUCCUAGUAAGUAUGUGUCAUCAUCACGCUCUGAUUACGUCCCUGCCCUUUGUACACACCGCCCGUCGCUCCUACCGAUUGAGUGAGCCGAUGAAACUGCCGGAUGUGGACUAUUCAUAGUCUGCAGAAGAUAUUUGAAUCGUAGCGCUUAGAGGAAGGAGAAGUCGUAACA
rnacentral:rRNA from 1 species